AUGUGUAAACACCUGAUGACAAAUCCGAAUCUGAAAAGGUGGAAAAGGCAGUGGGUUUAAUGGGUUUUAACGCAAAAGCGUGCAUGUGUUUGAACUCAGAGCAUCAAAGGGAAAAGGGCUGUUUCUCCAGUAAUGUAUUUUUUAUUCCUCAUUCUUUUUUAUAGCCUUUGCUAUUAAUUUUUCAGAUUUUCUGGUCUUUUACAAGUUAGCAAACUGUACUGCAACACUUGUAUUUCAGAUUUUCCUAACUGGAUUGAAAAGAACCUGGAACCGACCUCAGAGGCAGCUGGAGUUAAGUGAAGUCAAUGGAACUGCUGCCAAGGAGAGGGUUGCGAGUGCAGCCAGCAUGGGAAAGGAUACAACCUCUAUGGAAACGUUUCCUCCUCUGUGCCUGCUGCAAGUGGCACACAAUGGAUCGUCAUUAUUCAACAGAGACUCUAAGUGCCAUGAAAAAGAAAUAAUUAAACUACAACUAUUUCAGUAGAUAAGUUUGGUUUUAUGAUAGCUGACACGGUACAUGGCCUGGGAGUUUCGCACAAAUACUUUAGGAGGAGGAAAUGCUGUUUAACUUCCAUUGAAAGAGAGAAGAAAUGCACACCUGCAUACCCAGGAUUCUCCAACUCCACAGCUGGGAGCUCCAGGACCAUGGCUUGUGCAUUUCAAAGAAAGAAAACUAAAAUCCUGCUGUUUCUACUGUUAUUUUUCCCAUCUUGCCAGACUUUCAUAUGACAGUCUGUGCUUGGGGACUCAAAACAAAAAGAUGAGAUUAAUU